rfam:Picea glauca, whole genome shotgun sequence.
ACAUGCCUUCAACAUAGCAUUAAUGCACUGAAUCCGAUUAGAACUCCAUAGUUAAGCAUGCUUAGGCUAGAGUAGUACUGAUAUGGGUGACCACACGGAAACUCCUAGUGUUUUACAUGCC